rnacentral:tRNA from 1 species
UUGCCCUGCUGCUGCGGGGGCUGCUCGCCCUCCCGCGGCGCCCGGACCGCACCGGUGAUCGCGUCACCGCGGCGCAGACC